UGGCAGUGGCCCUAUUUGUCGGUUUCUUCGCUACAUUUUCAUCCUUCAGAAUUUAGCGAAUGCAAAUCUUCUAUCUCCUCACCAUUUAAAAUAGAAAGUCUCUUUAGCGGAAGUGUAUUCCUAUUACUGACCUUAUAGUGACAUUAAAUCCCAAGGAGGAGUCUCCGACCAAGGGGAAAGAGGACCAGAAUGCCCUGCUUCAGCCGCCAGGCGGCUGCUGGAAAUGCCGCGGGAGGAACUAUCCAGCAAUUGCCUGUGUUCUUCACUUUCCUUUUCGCGUGAGGAUGUGGCCAGACCAGUUCGGAGUGCAGGACUCCUCCUCAUCUGCAUAGAGAGAAGUAGCGUCAGGAUGCCGGUGGCAACGGCAGAGCGCUAGUCCCUCCCCUGGCUGUGGUCUUCCUUGCGCGCUGGAUGGAGCACCGGGCCGGGUGCUGUUGAGAAUGCCUCUGCGCUCAGGGAGAGCUUGAGCAUCUUGGCUGAAGGGCUCUGCUUAGAGACGGCUCUGGGAAAUGGUUCCUCCCCCUGGAUGUAGCCACAGUGUGGUAAAUUCCAUCUGAAAAAUAAAAGCAGAGCUCUUUGCUGAGUCAUAGAAGCCUCAGAGCUGAUUUGCAGUAGCCGGGCUGAGUCUGGACAACCUGAGAAAGAUCCACACAGUCAAGAUGAGAAAUGGGUGAGAAGAGCAGAAACUAUGAGGGUUUGAGAACGGAGACCCUAAAGCAGAGUGUGCUGGCUCCCAAUACUGUUCAGACAACCUUGGGAGACCUCACACUUUGGAGACCUAUCUGAAAACAUCUAAGCAGCUGUGGUGUGCCAAGGAGGGAGUUCUAAGGAAGGAAGAAAGAGUUAUUUUUCAGCUACCCAUAUUUUGGCACUAUCUACUCUUAGGUAAGUACAAAUGUCCCGUGGAAAUUCUCAGAAGGUUGAUCUUGACCAUGGGCUGUUAUGAACUGGGAUUUUCCUUUAAAAUAGGCCUCACAUCUUAUUUCUCUUUACCUCUUCAGAGGAGGUAUGAAAGUGAUAUUAAUCUUGUUGAAAACACCUCUACUUAGUAGAGGGAUUGAAUAGUCCAGGACCCUAGGCAC
rnacentral:lncRNA from 1 species